rnacentral:rRNA from 1 species
UACGUAGGGGGCAAGCGUUGUCCGGAAUGACUGGGCGUAAAGCGCGCGCAGGCGGUGCAUCACGUCUGAGGUGAAAGGUCGGGGCUCAACUUCGACAUGGCCUUGGAAACGGGAGCACUUGAGGGUCGGAGAGGUCAGGGGAAUUCCACGUGUAGCGGUGAAAUGCGUAGAGAUGUGGAGGAAUACCAGUGGCGAAGGCGCCUGACUGGACGAAACCUGACGCUGAGGCGCGAAGGCGUGGGGAGCAAACAGG